AGCGCGGGGCAACCUGGCGGCGAGUGGCGAACGGGUGAGUAAUAUAUCGGAACGUACCCAAGAGUGGGGGAUAACGCAGCGAAAGUUGCGCUAAUACCGCAUACGAUCUAAGGAUGAAAGCAGGGGACCGCAAGGCCUUGUGCUCCUGGAGCGGCCGAUAUCUGAUUAGCUAGUUGGUGAGGUAAAGGCUCACCAAGGCGACGAUCAGCAGCUGGUCUGAGAGGACGACCAGCCACACUGGAACUGAGACACGGUCCAGACUCCUACGGGAGGCAGCAGUGGGGAAUUUUGGACAAUGGGCGCAAGCCUGAUCCAGCAAUGCCGCGUGAGUGAAGAAGGCCUUCGGGUUGUAAAGCUCUUUUGUCAGGGAAGAAACGGCUGUGGCUAAUAUCCACGGCUAAUGACGGUACCUGAAGAAUAAGCACCGGCUAACUACGUGCCAGCAGCCGCGGUAAUACGUAGGGUGCAAGCGUUAAUCGGAAUUACUGGGCGUAAAGCGUGCGCAGGCGGUUUUGUAAGUCUGACGUGAAAUCCCCGGGCUUAACCUGGGAAUUGCGUUGGAGACUGCAAGGCUAGAAUCUGGCAGAGGGGGGUAGAAUUCCACGUGUAGCAGUGAAAUGCGUAGAGAUGUGGAGGAACACCGAUGGCGAAGGCAGCCCCCUGGGUCAAGAUUGACGCUCAUGCACGAAAGCGUGGGGAGCAAACAGGAUUAGAUACCCUGGUAGUCCACGCCCUAAACGAUGCGAACUGGAUGUUGGGUGCAACUUGGCACUCAGUAUCGAAGCUAACGCGUUAAGUUCGCCGCCUGGGGAGUAC
rnacentral:rRNA from 1 species